rnacentral:lncRNA from 1 species
AUUAUGACUUUGCAAGGAAACGCGUAAAAGACUCGUACCACAAGUCUAGAUAUGUCGUAAUAUAAGAAGGGGAGUUUCCUUGUGUUUUAAUUCUUUAUUUUAUCAUUAAUUGAUUAAUAGUGGGAAUUAUCUUUAUACAAGCAUAAUUAUCUUUUUAUAUUUUAUUGUCAUAUAUUUGUAGAGUUUUAAUAGAUAUGGGAAUGAUUUGUUGAUAAGGCAAAGAAAUCUCAUAUAUCUCUAAGACUUAUAUUCUUACGUGACUUAUGUAUUUUUAAUAUUUUGGUCUCU